rnacentral:rRNA from 1 species
AACGAACGCUGGCGGCAUGCCUAAUACAUGCAAGUCGAACGAUCACUUCGGUGAUAGUGGCGCACGGGUGCGUAACGCGUGGGAAUCUGCCCUUGGGUUCGGAAUAACAGCUGGAAACGGCUGCUAAUACCGGAUGAUGACGUAAGUCCAAAGAUUUAUCGCCCAAGGAUGAGCCCGCGUAGGAUUAGCUAGUUGGUGGGGUAAAGGCCCACCAAGGCGACGAUCCUUAGCUGGUCUGAGAGGAUGAUCAGCCACACUGGGACUGAGACACGGCCCAGACUCCUACGGGAGGCAGCAGUAGGGAAUAUUGGACAAUGGGGGCAACCCUGAUCCAGCAAUGCCGCGUGAGCGAUGAAGGCCUUAGGGUUGUAAAGCUCUUUUACCCGAGAUGAUAAUGACAGUAUCGGGAGAAUAAGCUCCGGCUAACUCCGUGCCAGCCGCCGCGGUAA